rnacentral:rRNA from 1 species
AUUGAACGCUGGCGGCAGGCUUAACACAUGCAAGUCGAGCGGAGAUGAGGUGCUUGCACCUUAUCUUAGCGGCGGACGGGUGAGUAAUGCUUAGGAAUCUGCCUAUUAGUGGGGGACAACAUUCCGAAAGGAAUGCUAAUACCGCAUACGUCCUACGGGAGAAAGCAGGGGAUCUUCGGACCUUGCGCUAAUAGAUGAGCCUAAGUCGGAUUAGCUAGUUGGUGGGGUAAAGGCCUACCAAGGCGACGAUCUGUAGCGGGUCUGAGAGGAUGAUCCGCCAGACUGGGACUGAGACACGGCCCAGAGUCCUACGGGAGGCAGCAGUGGGGAAUAUUGGACAAUGGGGGAAACCCCGAUCUAGCCAUGCCGCGUGUGUGAAGAAGGCCUUAUGGUUGUAAAGCACUUUAAGCGAGGAGGAGGCUACUGAGACUAAUACUCUUGGAUAGUGGACGUUACUCGCAGAAUAAGCACCGGCUAACUCUGUGCCAGCCGCCGCCGUAA